rnacentral:rRNA from 1 species
AAUUACGGCCACACCACUGUGACAACGCCCCAUCCCGUCUGAUCUCGGAAGCUAAAAAAAAUUGAAAACAUGUAUUUU